rnacentral:lncRNA from 1 species
CUCCUGCAUAAGUUUAAAGGAUGGAGGGGACUUGCGAGGACAACUGAUAUUUAAACCACAGCAGUGGCCUUCCUAGAGAGGUCCUGAAGUCUCCUCUCAGAAUUUCUUCCCUUGGGUUUAGGGGCCAGCUAGACAAACGCACCAAGACCACACACAGAUUCUAAGACAACAGGAGCAUGUGUGAAGGCACGAAUAGCCAGGAGGGCAGAGCUCUAGUGCCUCCAGCACCAAGGCUUGGGAGUUACAGCAAAUUUAAUGAUCAAGACAAAGGAGCCAGAGCCAAGGAGAAGCUAUGGCAAUUGGUAUUGAAAAUCUGUGCAAUUCUACUUGGGAAGAGAUCUAUGAAGGCUCUGAAGUAACAAACUGAAACACACAGAGGUUAAAAGCAUGAGGAUUCCAGUCAUGCAGUCCUGGGUUUGACUUCCAGCUUCUUGGACAUUAGUGCUCCUUAAUUACUCUCAAUUUCAGUUAUGUCAUCUCCAAAAUGAGACUAAUUAUAAGUGUUGAAAGAAUUAAAUGAAGCAGUGCAUCCAGAGUGCCUAGUACAGUGCCAGGAACAGAGUAAAUGUUUAAAAUUCCUUACCCUUCCUCUACUGUAAGAUGAUAGAGAUGUUCCAUCUGUCUGGCCAAAGUCAGCUUCAGUGGCUGAAAUUCAAGGACACUGGCCUGGGCCCUGCAC